rnacentral:rRNA from 1 species
GACGAACCGUGCGAACGUUGUUCGGAAUCACUGGGUUUAAAGGGCGCGUAGGCGGGCUGUCAAGUCGGUGGUGAAAUCGUUCCGCUCAACGGGACAAUGGCCUUCGAUACUGGCGGUCUGGAGGGAGGUAGGGCAUGCGGAACUUCCGGUGGAGCGGUGAAAUGCGUAGAUAUCGGAAGGAACACCGAUGGCGAAAGCAGCGUGCUGGACCUUUCUGACGCUGAGGCGCGAAAGCCAGGGAGCAAACGGG